AAACUGAAAACACCAAGUUGACACCAAACUCUUUAUUCUGUUUUUUUGUUCCCACAUAACGAAAAAACGUCAGAAACGUUUUUCUGGAUGACUACCAAACACAACCUUAAUAUUUUGCUUCAUUGAAGUAGUGGUUUACUAAUAAUCCAAAUUUUCAUUUUUAUUUUAUAUUUAUUCCAUGGUUAUUCGGGAUAAGAUAAUCGCUAUUGAAUAUUUUCUCUUGAGGAAUAAGUGGUGGUUCUCCCUUACAGUUGCUAUCUUUGAAGAAUGAUAUGUAAUCUGUUUAUUAUAUUUUAUUACGGGGCAUGGAUGGAGUGUUUUUCUAGUCAGUGAGUUUUCCUUGAAAAAAUACAUUUCCUUAAAAUAUGUUAGAGACUUGAUUUCAUGCAGUUGCUUUUGUACGUGUUUUGGAACCUAUGUGGGGAGCGAAUGAAUUUUUUAUAUGGCGUGUUUCAUCAUAGUCAAUCCAUCAGCCUUCAAAUUUCCCAUCACUAAGAUUGCCUCAACGGUGCCAGUAAAAUCUUUACCUCAUUAGUUUAUAAGUGGUGUAGGGAUUCUAUUGGUGUUCUUCAUAGGAUUGGGAUAGACAAAUAGCUAGCCUUAAAAUGUACGAACGCCCAACAACCAUAUCAUUUUCCAGGGUUUCUAUUUGUGUUGUUCUCAAAGGUGUUUUCUUUGAUGUUCUCUGAUCUUCUAGAGCUGUGUGUAGUUGCAAAUCUUUUUUUUCCUAUUGUUCUUAUGAAUGCUAUUGAUUGAAAAAAUGUUAAUUUUUGACUCCAUUAAGUUGGGUUAAGGCAAAGUUUAUUGUUAAUAUCGUUAUAUUAGUCAUUUGAUAGGAAAUCCAUGGUAAGAAAAUUCUUUUUCUUUUUCAUUUUUAAUAUGUGUAGGUUAUGAAUAUAUAUCAUUGUUUGACCUGUUUAUUUUUCAUUGUCUAUGGUUUGCGUUCUCUUCUGAUUGGUAGGGGAUGAUCUUCCCUGGAAAAAAAUAGAAUGUCCCAUUUUAUUUCUUCCUUCUAUGCAAUAACCUCUAUUAAGUUUUUCCCAUAUUCUCCUAACAUAACAUUAGGUUAUGCCCUUGUCUAAUAUCUACUAGUAAAUAUGACUCAGUGAUAAUUGUCUGGGUCAAAUUUUUGAUGAUAUUGGGGAACGUCGGGGUUGUUGGGAUUGAAACUAAAUGAGAUGUGCCAUAGUAUUUAUCAAACUGGUAGAUUGAAAUAUUCAUUCAAUUAGUUUUGUAAUUAUAUAUUGUGAUUAAUACUUGAAUUGUUUGACCUUUAAUGAACUAUUAAAAAAUGCCACAUUUGUUUUACUAUGUUGGGGAGGGGCGGGGGACAUUGAAAAUCAAAAGUAUACACUAAAACCAAGUUACGAAAAGUUCUUCAAAGUUUAAAACGUGAAAAAACGAGGUAACGGGAUUUUUCAUUUAUCAGUUGUUUGAUAUUUGUUCAGAUUGUCAUUGUACAUUUUUUUCUCUUUAUAUUUUACACUUUUAUAUUUCUAUGAGCUUGUAGGAAGAUCUACGUAGAUAAUUAUUUAUUCAUGUGCUAGCGGUGAAACCUGGUAUUUAUGUCACAUACAGUUGUGAUUUCUUUGACUGGUUGUUCUUAGAAACUAGAGUAGCUUAUCAUGGAAUUAUAAUUAAAGACGUAUGUUGAUGUUAUCAUUUUUUAUUUACCUUAAAAUAAAUCUUAUAUGCCUGACAGUAUUUUCUUUUUCAACCGAGGGAACUAUUCGAAUAGGACGGAGGAGAGGAAGUAGAUGGCAGGGGAGAAAGGUCACAAAGAGAGAGAAGGAGUGGGGUGCAGACAAACAGAGAGGGAGAUAGUGCGAUGUGGAAAGCGAGAGAAAUCAACAGCUUUUGAAAGUCCGUUUCCAUUAUUGGUGACUUCUUGGAGACAGUGCCAGUGGUGGAAUAUCUGUCAGCAGUAGCAGGAAUAUGAGCAAGAGCCACGGCAAAGGCGUAAACUCUGUCUCUAUUUCCCUUCUCUGAUUCCUCCCCUGGCUGGAUACAUACAUUGCGUCACGUCUAUGAGAUGAUAACUAUAACUUCUGUUUAUCUACUGACCUUUUUUUUUUUGUUUAAAUAUUAUAAUGCAAAGAUCUAUACUGAAGGGUAUUAACGGGUCUCGAAAGAAGCAUAGAUUCUAUCCAAAGAAGUUUUACGAUCUAACAUGAAGCAACAAUGAACGGAGAAGGCAAAAAGAGGCUCAGAUGGUUGUUCACUCUUGCAUUUGUGAAAGGUCUUAUUCAUAUUAAGUUUGCUGAUAAUAUUGAUGACACGGUUCUUUCUUAUUAGCUAGUUACAUCAGGACUACAUCUGUGAUCCUGGAGGGCUAGGCUGACUGAUGUGGAUGUCCAGUGCUGCAUACCUUUACCAAUUUGAGGCAGGGUGUGAUAGAUGAUCUCUUUGACUUGAAUGAUAAAUGAUUUGAUUCUCUCGUGUUUGUGAUAUGGGAGCACAUUCUAUUAUACAUACCUUGUUACAAAGAUCGGGGUGCACGUUAGCAAAGAAACAAAAAAGAAAAGGUGAAAUAAGGGGGUAGUGUAGAAGUAAAUUGCAUUGGAAGAAGUGAAACAGGAAGAGUGCCAGCUGGUGCCACUUCUUUUGGCAUUCUCAUGUGGGGACUCGUAGUUUGUUUGUUUCCCUCUGAAUGUUGGGGUGAGUGAUAAUUAUUUUACUUGCUAGAUAAAUCAAGAGUCCAAAUUUCUGGUACUCAAGUUUUGUCUAUUAAUGUAUUAUGCAUUUUUUUUUUUUUUGCUAAAUAUAUUUUGAUCUGGGACGGGAAAUGUAAUACGGCCACUGCUAUUAUGAUCUCUUUCAUGCUUCUUACUUUUCAGUACAUGGAUUGCAUUUGUACCAUUCCACAUUCCUUAUCGAAAAGCAUAUAUUGGCAUCCAAAAUACGGGGACUGUUUUUACUUGAAGGUUUGAGGUAGAUCGCAUUUACAGUAAGUUCUUGUUAGACUCGUGCAUUUGGAGGGGUUUUAUGAGCUAUUUGUUUCUAAGUUUUAUGUGUCAUUUUGUUAUUUGCCUUUUGAUUUCCAAAUAUCAGCCUCGUCAAUUGCAGGGAAGAGUUCUCAAUAUUGAAAAUAUUUAUCCACUUUUUUCACUAUCGAUCACAUGACUGCUUGGGUUAUAUGAGCUAUUUGUUUUUAAGUUUUAUGUGUCAUUUUGUUAUUUGCCUUUUGAUUUCCAAAUAUUAGCCUCGUCGAUUGUAGGGAAGAGUUCUCAAUAUUGAAAAUAUUUAUCCACUUUUUUCACUAUCGAUCACAUGACUGCUUGUUCUCAACAAUUUAUGGGCACAAGAUCUUCGUUAUGCUCUUUACCAAAAAAAAAAAAAAAAAAAAAAAAAAAAAAAAGAUCCUAGUUGUGCUUACUAUUGAUUUCUUGCACACCAAUAUAUGUAUAUAUGAAUGAAUUUGUUCGUAUAUGCAAUCAUGUGUUUUUUCUUGCACGCGUGUGUAAGUAGAAAAAAAUUGCACCUGUUCUCAUCUUGUGGAUGAUGGAGCUGCUCAAGGAUCCACACAUUCUUGACGCUGAUGAUGAUGAGUUUGUUCUUUUUCUAUCAGUACCAUUAGUUAUGCCUGCACCCUCAUGUGCAUUGAAAAAUUUUGCGCCUGUUCUCAUCUUGUGGAUGGCGGAACUGCUCUAGGUUCCACACAUUCCUUUUUUUUUUUUUUAUAUGUAGAUCCACACAUUAUUUGACACUGAUGAUGAUGAGUUUGUUCUCCUUUUCAAUUAGUACCAUUAGUUUAUAACUGGUGAUUGUUGCUUAGGAUUUAAUGAUUUAAGAAGAUGUUCUAGAUGUGCUGCUCUGGAACUUUUGUUUGCAUCUUUUUCCAAUCACUUUCCUUACUACUGCUAUAUCUUAAGUGGAAAAAAUUCUGAUUGCUGGAAUUAUAUUUUUCUUUGCAAAGCACAUUAAAAUGGACCUUUUGAUGUACAGGAAGAUGAUAUAAUAAUUGAGUUGUUGAAUAAAUAUUGGUCGAAGAAGUGGUCCACCUUUGUUCAAGCGUUACCUGGGCGUACUGGAAAGCAAUGCCACGAAAGAGGAUGAAUAGGAUAUCAUUUUCCUGAAGUGGCAUAUCUUAACCUACAAUCAACAAAGAGGCAUGGGCUCAAGAGGAGGAGUUGGCUUUGAUUCAAGCUCAUCAAAUUUAUGGGAACAGAUGGGCUUAGUUAACAAAAUUUCUCGAGAAAGUCGUUACUUUAGUUCUGCUCUCAACUAUCAGAGAGCCAGCAUUUGUCUUGAUAACUGAGCCCCUAUUUUGUUCUUCAUUCAUUUUGCAAAAGUCAAUGCUGCUUCAAUUGCUUAGAUGCUGGACAGACAAUGCAAUGAAAAAUCACUGGAACAGCUCUUAAAAGAAAGUUGGACUCAUACUUGGCCUCAGGUAUACUCACAAAAUUUCAAGGUCUGCCUCACGUGCCCAAGCCAAACCAGUGCAUGCCUUCCUCCUCACUGAUGACAGAACAGAGCAGUGGAGAUAAUAGUGACCCCAAAUAUGUGGCAGAAGCAGAGGAAAUAUCAGAAUGUAGCCAAGGUUCAACUUCUGUUCGUUGCUCCCAUUCCGAGCAUGACAUGGUUUAUGCGGUUUCAGUACAAGCAGAAGAAGAGUUUAAACUGACAGAGGCAGCUAGUCAAAGAAUUGGGCAAGGCUCUAGUAUGCCAUCAUGUUCCAAACAGUAUUUAUUUUUCAUUCGAAGAUGUUUCAGAAAUACCUCAUGAACUAGCAAUCUCUGUCCACCCUUCUGAGCAAAGCAUAUCCCCUGAGUUGGAGGCUCUGACACUAAUGAUUGCUAUUUCAGUUUACAUGAGUUGCCUCGUACCUGUUCACUGGAAAUGCUCCAGGAAACACCAGGUUUCUUCAAAUCAUCGGCACAGUGUAUGACAAGUGUUGAUGAAAACCACAAAACAGGUUCUGUUCUGUUACAGAACUCUGUUGGUUUCUGUGCUUCUACUUCAAUGUUUCAGAGUCAGGGAUGGAUGCUUUUCUUCGGGUAAUCAGAUUGAUUGCUCAAAUACCAUUGACAUGGAUGGAUGUGUCAAUUCGUUCCUUCGCCGAUCUGGCAUUCAGAGUUCUGAAGCUGAUGAAAGUUUUAGCAUCACGGUCAUAUUAUCCAAUAGAGCGCUGUUUCAAUCUCCUGUGGGUCGUAGGAAGACUCAAACAACUCUCUUAUGCGGUGUCCUUUACUUUUUACCCCUAAUUACUUUCAGCCUGAUCGUUCAAGGUGUCCUCCAACAAAAUAGAAGACGAAGGAGAAGAUGAAAUCUCAGAAGGGGAGUGCAACUCUCUAGGGUCGAAAUCAAGGUUGCUGCUGCUGAGAGGCAGGCUAAGGCCAAGCAGGAUUGGCUACUGAGGUAGCAGGAGAAGGAGAAGGAGAAGGAGAAGGAGAAAGAGAAAGGGAAGGCUCCAGCUUUCGAACCCCCUACAAAGAAGAGGGAUAUGGUAGAGGAUCUGACCCUGGAGGCUGUUCAAGCACUUACUGCUUCUAGGUGGGGUGUGCUUAUCUCAUCCAAAGUUCCUGAUGAGGAUGACUUCCGAUGCCUAGGUAUAUCUCGGGGCCGAACUGAAGCUGGCUUUAUCCGCAGGUGGUCUGUCAAGGAGGAAAACACCUAUGUCGUUAGACAUGUUGCCUUAGAGCUUGUGUAGAAGGGCAGGCUUCUGAGGGAUAUUGUCGAUGCUCAGGAGCAGAGUACUUAGGCUAUGAUCACAAGCGCGUGUAUCUUCAUGGCGGGGGCCAACAACCAGGUCACCCACUCACCAUCCGAGCCGGGGGCUUUGGCCUGAAGCCUUGAGAAGUCCGAACACAAAUGCGAACAGUCCACCCUUGGCAACUAGUGGACCAUUCUUCUUGAGAAGGUAGAGCAUCUAGAGGUUGAGCGUGACCAAACCGCCAGGAGUAUGAGAGCAAGCUUUCGGAGCUGAACGGAUGGGAGUUAGGAAGUACAAGGGCAUGGAUGCCUUCAGGAAGGAGGUGACUUGCGCAACGGCCCCGGGGAUACAUCAUGGGUGCUACCGAGGUCUGAGACUGGAUACUCAAACAUCACUCGGGGUUCUCCUUUGUGGGGAGUGGUCUCAUCUUUGAGGAAGAGGAAGGUGAGAAAGCCCCGACUGUUAUCGAGGUGGCUGAGAUUGCCAAAGGCAGUGAGGACGACGGUGUUCAAUAGACCCAUGAAGUCCCUCUCACCCUCGACCACGACAGUUUCGACCGAGACAUCCUUGUUCGUGCCAACGAUGAGGUCCUUUUUCCUAUCGAGGUUCAGUGAGGGUUGUUUUUUCUUUUGGCCUUCAUGCUCUUUUGAUGUGACUUUGGCCUUUGGGCCUUUUUUUUAUGUAACUUCGGCCUUCGGGCCUUUGUAUGUAUUUUCCUUGUCAAGGCUUCGUUUUUAAUAAAUCUUUUUUGCUUCUCUUGCU